GUGAGGAAUUUUCCGCAAUGGGCGAAAGCCUGACGGAGCAAUGCCGCGUGAAGGAUGAAGGCCUAUGGGUUGUAAACUUCUUUUCUCAGAAAAGAAUUAUGACGGUAUCUGAGGAAUAAGCAUCGGCUAACUCUGUGCCAGCAGCCGCGGUAAGACAGAGGAUGCAAGCGUUAUCCGGAAUGAUUGGGCGUAAAGCGUCUGUAGGUUGUUUUAAAAAGUAUUCUGUCAAAGAUUAGGGCUUAACCCUAGAUAGGCAGAAUAAACUUUUAAGCUAGAGUUUGGUAGAGGCAGAGGGAAUUCCCGGUGGAGCAGUGAAAUGCGUAGAUAUCGGGAGGAACACCAAAGGCGAAGGCACUCUGCUGGGCCAAUACUAACACUGAGAGACGAAAGCGAGGGGAGCAAAUGGGAUUAGAUACCCGUGUAGUCC
rnacentral:rRNA from 1 species